rnacentral:misc_RNA from 1 species
CGGACUACAGGGGUAUCUAAUCCUGUUUGCUCCCCACGCUUUCGCGCCUCAGCGUCAGUUGUCGUCCAGCAGGCCGCCUUCGCCACUGGUGUUCCUCCUAAUAUCUACGCAUUUCACCGCUACACUAGGAAUUCCGCCUGCCUCUCCGAUACUCAAGGGAUACAGUUUCAAAUGCAGUUUGGGGGUUGAGCCCCCAGAUUUCACAUCUGACUUGCAUCUCCGCCUACACGCCCUUUACACCCAGUAAAUCCGGACAACGCUUGCUCCCUACGUAUUACCGCGGCGGCUGGCACG